UACGGAGGGUGCAAACGCUGCUCGGAAUCAUUGGGCGUAAAGCGCACGUAGGCGGCUCCUCAAGUCGGAUGUGAAAGCCCUGGGCUCAACUCAGGAAGUGCAUCCGAAACUGUGGAGCUUGAAUGCCGGAGGGGCCCAGAGAAUUCCCGGUGUAGAGGUGAAAUUCGUAGAUAUCGGGAGGAAUACCAGUGGCGAAGGCGCUGGGCUGGACGGUCAUUGACGCUGAGGUGCGAAAGCGUGGGGAGCAAACAGG
rnacentral:rRNA from 1 species